UCUUUUUUUCUGUUUUAUUACAAUUCUUGUUGAGUUUUGAAUCAUUUUCCUCAAGUUCGAAACCCUAGCCUGUCACUUUGGAUGUGCAGUUAUUGCUGCUAAUGGCAUAUUGAAUUGUGAUUGAUUUGGUAGAAACCCGUCUUUGAUUGGCCCUUCAACAUUAUUGCUAUUUAAUAUGCGUGCCUUGUCAAAACUAUUUCUUGAAUCUUCCCUCUGAUAUCUGAAUUCUAAGUAAUACCAUUUCUCAAGCUUUUUUAUGCUUUUACUAGAAACCACAUGUGAAACGGCAGACUCGGAUCUUGUUUAAGCUUUGAGAUUGAAUCUUCUUAAAGAUUUUUUGAUUGAUAUGUGACCACCUUUCCAAUAUUUGACAUUAACUUUCCUGCGGUAGUUGGAGUCCACUCUUUCAUGUGUAUAAUGCGUGCUUGGAUUAUACACACUUGGCUUCCCUAAAUAAAUUUCUUAUAGAAAACCUAAUGAUUGUGAAAAGGAUGAAAACAUAAUCAAGUUCUAUUUUGGUCAGUAUAAAUUUUUAACAGGGUCAAGGAUGCUGUUAUCUAAACUGCAGGCCAGCUGCUAGAAGUGAUGCACCAGGAAGCACAUGAAUUAUCAUUCUGAAAGCAUUGAUAGGCCUCACUUACUUCAUUGAUUUGUAUCAUUUACCUACUGUAGAGUGUAGACCUUUCCCUUAAUUGAAGUAGAAUUGCCAAAUAUUGUUGGAUGGCAAUUGAGAGGAAUGUAUAACAGGAAGCAGCCUUUAUAGGCAUAAUAACCAUACUUGAUAACAAAAAAUGGAAAUUAGCAAGGUGGUUUAUUAUUUUGUUCAAUCCAUUAUUAGCAACACAAAGUAGCUUGUUUAUAGCAUAGUCUCCUAGCAGAUUUCUUGGUUUAUAUCUAUCAUGGAAAAGUCGUGUUAUGAGUGUAGUUAUUUUGUAACUUGGUGAAGCAUCAAGGAGAAGACUUGCCAGGACUCAGCUUAUCUAAUUCUAGCCAAUUGUGACACAGAAUUCUUUUCCGAGUUUAAUUGGUGAUGAAGAAGCAAGAGCCGCGAUAGUAGGUAAUAUUCUGGAGAAUGGACUUUUGAAGCCUUCAGAAGAGGUCAUUGGUGCCACUUGUAAGUUAACAGAAGGCUACACAGGAUCAGAUAUGGAAAACUUGGUGAAGGAUGCAUCUAUGGGCCUCUUAGGAAGGGUCCGAGACAAGGCAUAGAAAUUACAAGGAUGAAGAAAAAGGAUAUGCAGCCAGUAAUAAUUCAGGUAAUGACAUGCAAAUCUGCAGUAAAUUGCACCCAUGUCCACACAGUGAACACUUAUUAGCAUGAUCACUUGAAGCCAUCUUGUGCAUUAAGAGGCCAGGCCAUCGGUUUCUCUGUAAGAAUUGGCAUGUAUGAAGAAUGGAACAAUGUAGAAGCUUAUCAUUAGAAAGACCGAUAAUUGGUACUCGAUGAAGAUUGGAAAAGUUUAGAAACUUAUCUAUGUUUUUAGAAAGACUGAAAAUAAGAAAAUAAGAAAUUGUUUUUUUCUUUCAAGUGGUGGAAAACAACCACAGUUGUAAGCACUAAUCAGCGUGUUGUACUGGAGGUGUCUAUGAGGGCCCGACCAAAAAGAAAGAAAAGCAUGUUGUACCAGUUACAUUCAUCUUUCUUUAACCUCUAUGAAAAGAAAGAAACUUCUUUGAUGUC